ACAAAGAUGAAGGCAUCAGUGUACUGAUAGCGUGUGGUUCUUCAGUCUACCUGUUUGCAUACAAAGAUGAAGGCAUCAGUGUACUGAUAGGAUUGGGUAAGGGACACACAAAGGACAGAGGCAAGCAUUUACUGCACACUCAGGUCUUAACCCUCACAAACACCCGUGGGGCUUGUGAUCAGUGUCUUAUGCGGUGAGCCAUCUUGCUCUAAACCUUGGCUUUACACAAGGUCACUGUCUUAGUCCCUUUGUGCUGCUAUAACGAAACACCAUAAGCUAGGUGGCUUACAAACAAGAUGUACUUCUCUCUGCUACAAAGGCCGGAAGCCCAAUAUCAAAAUGCAGGAAGUGAGGCCCCGAAGGACAUAUUCUCACUUCUCUCAUGAUGGAAGGCUGGACUGUGGUCUUUGCAGCUCCUACCAGGACGCAGAUCCUCUUCUGGGGGCCCCGUUCUUACACCACACAACCACCGAAGGACAGACCUCUUAGCUCCAUUCUGUGUCCCCCAGCAAGAGAAAUGCAGGUCCAGCAUCGGUACGGACGCGCAUUCCCUCAGAUACAGCUUCCUCUGCACAUCACCAAAAAGAACCAGAAGUCUGCGGUUCAGGAAGCACAGCCAGGAAUAACCGGAGCGUCCUUGCAGUCAGGUCACACUAUAGCUCUCUUUGAAACCUCUGAAGGUUUUCUCCCCAGGAAAGUGCUCUCAGCAUGUGACCACUGAGAGGGCUCUAUGGAGUUCCAGCCUUCUUUCUUUUCCCCAACAGCAGCAGUAACAAAUGCCAACCCCGAGGGCAGACUCAAACUGGGCUGGUGUCCCA
rnacentral:lncRNA from 1 species